GCUUGGGGAAGAAUGCCUGAGCCUCAAGGACUCUCAUUAACCCGGGCAGUGGAGAAACGAAGGAUGGAGAAGGGUGGCCUGUGCAGAGUCUAAACUUACAGAGAGUUCCUUCGUAGGAGAGGAGAACGGCGGGGGAAUCAAUGCAUGACAGUGAGAAAGGGAACCAGACCCACUCCCAGGAGAGCAUGAGCGCUCAUGAGAACGAUCCAUCAGAGGUUGGAGACUGGACGUGUGUGUGGCCAAGAAGGGCCUAGGACUGGCCUUGCUCUGGAACCUACCUACGUGACCCUCAAAUGCUUGGGCA
ensembl:lncRNA